UACGUAGGGUGCAAGCGUUAAUCGGAAUUACUGGGCGUAAAGCGUGCGCAGGCGGCUUUGCAAGACAGAUGUGAAAUCCCCGGGCUUAACCUGGGAACUGCAUUUGUGACUGCAUGGCUGGAGUGCGGCAGAGGAGGUUGGAAUUUACGGUGUAGCAGUGAAAUGCGUAGAUAUCGUAAGGAAGGCCGGUGGCGAAAGCGAACCUCUGGGCAGCAGCUGACGCUGUGGCACGAAGGCUAGGGGAGCAAACGGG
rnacentral:rRNA from 1 species